rnacentral:rRNA from 1 species
AACGAAGCACUUAAGAACGAUUCUUCGGAUGAAGUCUUUUGUGACUGAGUGGCGGACGGGUGAGUAACGCGUGGGUAACCUGCCUCACACAGGGGGAUAACAGUUGGAAACGACCGCUAAUACCGCAUAAGCCAACAGGGGCGCAUGCUCUGGUUGGAAAAGAUUUAUCGGUGUGAGAUGGACCCGCGUCUGAUUAGCCAGUUGGCAGGGUAACGGCCUACCAAAGCGACGAUCAGUAGCCGGCCUGAGAGGGUGAACGGCCACAUUGGGACUGAGACACGGCCCAAACUCCUACGGGAGGCAGCAGUGGGGAAUAUUGCACAAUGGGGGAAACCCUGAUGCAGCGACGCCGCGUGAGUGAAGAAGUAUUUCGGUAUGUAAAGCUCUAUCAGCAGGGAAGAAAAUGACGGUACCUGACCAAGAAGCCCCGGCUAACUACGUGCCAGCAGCCGCGGUAAUACGUAGGGGGCAAGCGUUAUCCGGAUUUACUGGGUGUAAAGGGAGCGUAGACGGUGA